CGACCGGCGCACGGGUGAGUAACGCGUAUGCAACCUGCCUGAUACCGGGGUAUAGCCCAUGGAAACGUGGAUUAACACCCCAUAGUACUUUUAUCCUGCAUGGGAUGUGAGUUAAAUGUUCAAGGUAUCGGAUGGGCAUGCGUCCUAUUAGUUAGUUGGCGGGGUAACAGCCCACCAAGACGAUGAUAGGUAGGGGUUCUGAGAGGAGGGUCCCCCACAUUGGAACUGAGACACGGUCCAA
rnacentral:rRNA from 1 species